AGCUCCAAUAGCGUAUAUUAAAGUUGUUGCGGUUAAAAAGCUCGUAGUUGGAUUUCUGUCAGGAAUGACCGGUCCGCCCUCUGGGUGAGUAUCUGGUUCAGUCUUGGCAUCUUCUUGGAGAACGCAACUGCACUUCACUGUGUGGUGCGGUAGCCAGGACUUUUACUUUGAGGAAAUUAGAGUGUUUCAAGCAGGCACGCGCCUUGAAUACAUUAGCAUGGAAUAAUAAGACAGGACUUCGGUUCUAUUUUGUUGGUUUCUAGAGCUGAGGUAAUGAUUAAUAGGGAUAGUUGGGGGCAUUCGUAUUUAACUGUCAGAGGUGAAAUUCUUGGAUUUGUUAAAGACGGACGACUGCGAAAGCAUUUGCCAAGGAUGUUUUCAUUGAUCAAGAACGAAAGUA
rnacentral:rRNA from 1 species